rnacentral:rRNA from 1 species
GAUGAACGCUGGCGGCGUGCCUAAUACAUGCAAGUCGAGCGAACAGACGAGGAGCUUGCUCCUCUGACGUUAGCGGCGGACGGGUGAGUAACACGUGGAUAACCUACCUAUAAGACUGGGAUAACUUCGGGAAACCGGAGCUAAUACCGGAUAAUAUAUUGAACCGCAUGGUUCAAUAGUGAAAGACGGUUUUGCUGUCACUUAUAGAUGGAUCCGCGCCGCAUUAGCUAGUUGGUAAGGUAACGGCUUACCAAGGCAACGAUGCGUAGCCGACCUGAGAGGGUGAUCGGCCACACUGGAACUGAGACACGGUCCAGACUCCUACGGGAGGCAGCAGUAGGGAAUCUUCCGCAAUGGGCGAAAGCGUGACGGAGCAACGCCGCGGGAGUGAUGAAGGUCUUCGGAUCGUAAAACUCUGUUAUUAGGGAAGAACAAAUGUGUAAGUAACUAUGCACGUCUUGACGGUACCUAAUCAGAAAGCCACGGCUAACUACGUG